CAACCCCAACUAAAGAGAGAACACCCACUGAGUUUAAGCAUAUAAUUAAGUGGAGGAAAAGAAACUUACAAGGAUUCCCUUAGUAAUGGUGAGCGAAUCAGGAAGAGCCCAACAUGAAAAUCGGGUGGCAGCACCGCCUAAAUUGUAGUUUGUAGAAGCAUCCUUAGUGGAAGACUAGGCCCAAGUCCCUUUGGAAGGGGGUGCCUGAGAGGGUGACAACCCCGUCGGGCCGGGACCCUGCCGCACCACGAGGCAUUGUCGGCAAGUCGGGUUGUUUGGGAAUGCAUCCCUAAUCGGGUGGUAAUUUUUUUCCAAGGCUAAAUACGAGCGAGAGACCAAUAGCAAACAAGUACCACAAAGGAAAGAUGAAAAGGACUUUGAAAAGAGAGUUAAAGAGUGCUUGAAAUUGCUGGGAGGGAAGCAGAUGGAGGUCGAUGAUGUGUAUUGGUUGGAUAUGGAAUGACUCAAGAUGGUCUGUCGCUUGACUCGAGGAGAAAACCAACACAGGUUGUUGCAUCAUCACAAGCAUUGGUGGAGUACUACCUAUUGGUUUUCCAUUGUGGCGAUCAAGGAAUGAAGCAUGUGCCUCUUGGGGUGGGCCACUAUGCACAUGCAUGCUCGUGGUGUUGGUUGGCGGGCUUUACAUUCGACCCGUAUUGAAACAUGGACCAAGGAGUAUAACAUGUGUGCGAGUUGGUGGGUUUGUAAACUUGUGAGGUGUAAGGAAGCUGAUGGGUGAGAUCCCCUCUCCAUGGGUGUUGUUGGGAAAAACACUCUACGGACUAGCAAAUUAGGGUCAGACUUUGCAUGCAGAUUUGACCGAAUAGAAACUACUUUUUUAUCUACAUCCCAAGAUUUAAAUCCCUUUUUCUUGGUAAAUGCAUGGAAAAGGACCACCUACCUUAUUACCGGUGUUCGAUUUCGAUCCUCCGUUGUGCUUGAAUACUUACUUGCAAUGCUCCUUCCAAAGAUGACCUACACUCAAGACAAACAACAACUAUGCAUGCAUGCUACUUCUAUACUCAAGGGUUAGAAAUCAAACGUAAACUAAUCAAACCAUAUAUAAUUUAUAAUUUGGGAUGGGAAAAGCAUUCUUUUUAUUACUUAAAGUGAAUCAACUUACAAAAGCUGAGACUAGCCACCGCUCCUUGAACCUGAUCCUGGGAUCCUCUUCUUCCGUCCUUCAACUACUUUGCGUUAAAUCUCCUUUGACAUGAGGAAAGGAUAAAGGGUUGGGACAAUGGAAUACAUAAAUGGGCAGAGUUUCUUUGCUAUAUUUUUUCCUCCUCCAAAUGGUACCCCUACCCCUUCUUUUAUAGGCUAGAAGGAGCUAGGGUGUUAUUGGAUAAAUCCGUAAGUGCGGACACAAACCGAUCUCCCUAGAUCCACCUGGAUCUAGAACAAAACAUGACAGAAUAUACCGCUUUCCCUAGAUCUAACU
rnacentral:ncRNA from 1 species